rnacentral:lncRNA from 1 species
GUAAACGCACGUUUAUAAUACAAAUUUACUGUUCUUGUCUUGACCGAAUAUGAUUACUUAGGUGUUCCAUCUCACAACCUUCACAUCUCUCUCUCUCUCUCUCACUCACUCACUCACUCACUCAUACACACACUCAGAGUUGAAGAUGCUGUCAACUGUGUGGAGGAAAAAAAGAUCUGCCAUUGUUGGCUCAUGUAAGGGUUUCUCAGAGCCAGAUGAAGGCUUGAGAAUCCUUACACAGCUCCCCAGUGGUGAACCCAAUGUUUUAUUCAAGUUUAGUUCAAAACUGAUAAAUCCCAGUUUUUAUCUGAAUCAAAUAGAGCCUCCCUCUCUCGAUUCUUCCUUUCUAAAAUCGUGUUUUCUUUGCAAGAAACACUUGAGUCUUGAUAAAGAAGUGUAUAUGUACAGGGGUGAUCAAGGUUUUUGCAGUGUCGAAUGCAGGGGUAGGCAAAUUUAUAUGGAUGAAAUGAAAGAAACUGAACUUUCCACCAAGAAAGCAUUAGUAUCAUUCCGGCAGCGGCGGUGUGAGACUGGCAGCUUCUUAGGGGAAUUCAAACAACGGCGACACCCAUUUUCAUCUCAAAAGAAUCAAGUUAUAUUUUUCUCCUAGUUAUUCAUUUUCUUCAGUUUUUCUCAGUUCAAGAACUGGGGAUUGCUAUGUAAAUAAGCAGUAGAUGAGAAGAAUUUCAGAUAAUUUCCAAUACAAGGAAGAAUGAUUAAUGUAAAUGUAUAUUUCAUAUUUGCAUUUAAAGAAUUAUAUUCCUGCAUUUGGACAAAAGAAU